rnacentral:rRNA from 1 species
GGAAGGCAGCAGGCGCGCAAAUUACCCAAUCCUGACUCAGGGAGGUAGUGACAAGAAAUAACAACACUGGAAAUUUUAUUUCUAGUGAUUGGAAUGAUGGGAAUCUAAACCCCUUUCAGAGUAACAAUUGGAGGGCAAGUCUGGUGCCAGCAGCCGCGGUAAUUCCAGCUCCAAUAGCGUAUAUUAAAGUUGUUGCGGUUAAAAAGCUCGUAGUUGGAUAUCUGCUGGAAGCAAUCAGUCCGCCCUAUUUAGGGUGUGCACUUGAUGAAUUCUGGCAUCUAUUAUUCCUAAUGUGCUGAUGACUUUCAGUAGUCAUCAGUGUUGGGAAUAAUACAGUUACUUUGAGAAAAUUAGAGUGUUUGAAGCAGGCUUAUUGCCUUGAAUACUGCAGCAUGGAAUAACAAUAUAGGAUUUCGGUUCUAUUUUGUUGGUUUCUAGGACUGAAAUAAUGGUUAAUAGGGACAGUUGGGGGCAUUCGUAUUUAACUGUCAGAGGUGAAAUUCUUAGAUUUGUUAAAGACGAACUACUGCGAAAGCAUUUGCCAAGGAUGUUUUCAUUAAUCAAGAACGAAAGUUAGGGGCUCGAAGACGAU